rnacentral:lncRNA from 1 species
GUGCCUCUGGACUAUCAGAGAAAAGUGUCUCUGGACAUCCAUAUCUGGGACUUAUUUCCGAUAUCUGAACCCGUUACCCGCUAUGGAUAAAAAAACAGUAUCCACAUCCAUUACCCACAGGUAAGGGAUAUCCACUACACAUACAAUAUUUUUAAAUCCGCCAAAUUCAAAUAUUUGUCCAGCAAAAUUGUCCACCAAAUUUAAGUAUGAUAAAAACAUACAACCAUACAAAAUUUGUCCAGCAAAUCAAAUCUAACACAUGCAUUAAGGCAUACAGCGAGCAAUAUAAAAUUAGACCUGCUGGGCGAGCUGGCAAUGUCCGGCGCAGUGCUCAACAUGGUCACGUGGAGAAGACCGAUCCUCAUGCGCAGUGCUUGAUGUGGAGAGGUGAUAGUCGCCUAGAGGGGGGGGUGAAUAGGGCGAAACUGAAAUUCUCAAAAAUAAUCACAACUAUAAGUCGGGUUAGUGUUAGAAAUAUAAACGAGUCCGUGAGAGGAUGUAAAACAAAUCGCAAGCGAAUAAAGAGUGUGACACACGGAUUUGUUUUACCGAGGUUCGGUUCUCACAAACCUACUCCCCAUUGAGGUGGUCACAAAGACCGUGUCUCUUUCAACCCUUUCCCUCUCUCAAACGGUCCCUCCGACCGAGUGAGCUUCUCUUCUCAAAUCAAAACCGGGAACAAAACUUCCCCGCAAGGGCCACCACACAAUUGGUGCCUCUUGCCUUGAUUACAAUGGAGUUUUGAUCACAAGAACAAAUGAGAAAGAAAAGAAGCAAUCCAAGCGCAAGAGCUCAAAAGAACACGGCAAAUCUCUCUCGCUAAUCACUAAAGCCUUGUGUGGAAUUGGAGAGGAUUUGAUCACUUGGGAGUGUCUAGAAUUGAAUGCCUAGCUCUUGUAAGUGAUUGAUAAGUGGAAAACUUGGAUGCAAUGAAUGGUGGGUGGUUGGGGGUAUUUAUAGCCCCAACCACCAAACUAGCCGUUUGAUAGGGCUGUCUGUCGUAUGGUGCACCGGACAGUCCGGUGCACACCGGACAUGUCCGGUGCGCCAGCCACGUCACCAAAGCUGUUGGGUUCCGACCGUUGGAGCACUGUCUUCUGGGCCCGCCUGGAUGUCCGGUGGCGCACCGGACAUGUACUGUAGAGUGUCCGGUGCGCCAGUAUGGGCAUGCCUGACUUCUGCACGCGCUGGCGCGCAUUUAAUGCGCUGCAGGUAGCCGUUGGCGCCGAGAUAUCCGUUGCUCUGUUGUCACACCGGACAGUCCGGUGCACACCGGACAUGUCCGGUGAAUUAUAGCGGACUAGCCGUUGCGAAUUCCCGAAGCUGGCGAGUUUCUGAGGCCGCUCUGCCUUGGAGCACCGGACACUGUCCGGUGUACACCGGACAGUCCGGUGAAUUAUAGUGGAGCGCCUAUGGAUUUUCCCGAAGGUGGCGAGUUUGAGGUGGAGUCCUCUGGUGCACCAGACACUGUCUGGUGGUGCACCGGACACUGUCCGGUGGCACACCGGACAGUCCGGUGCGCCAGACCAGAGAUGCCUUCGGUUGCCCCUUUGCUCUUUUGUUGAACCCAAUACUUGGUCUUUUUAUUGGCUAAGUGUGAACCUUUGGCACCUGUAUAACUUACACACUAGAGCAAACUAGUUAGUCCAAUUAGUUGUGUUGGGAAUUCAACCACCAAAAUUAUUUAGGAACUAGGUGUAAGCCUAAUUCCCUUUCAAGAGGUCGCGAGUAGCUGGCGGAGAAUGGAGAUGCACGAGGACAGUCGAUCGCCAGUGGCGUGUGCAAACUAUGAAGCCGGCGGUGGUGCACGGUCGCACAGAUCUGAGCUACGACCUGCUCACCUGCAGGGAACGGUAGUGGCACCGCCGCACUGGCCGUACGCAAGCUGGAACGCAUGGGGAGUGAAGGACCGCCGUUCGUGAAUGCAAACAUGUGGGGAGAAUUGGGGAAUAGGGAAGCAGUACAGGUUAGACGGGGUUGCCAGAUUGGGGAGGCUAGACAAACAGCCGAGAUGGGCCACAACGGGAAAUUAGACUAUCUAUGGUCUGUGAAUUGGUUCUAAACCCUAGCGACCCACUUGUUAGGUUACUUAAACGGAUAUUCGAGUAUUUGGAUAUGGAUACUGAUUUUUCAUACCAGUUUUAUAAAUAUCUAUGGAUAUCAAAUGCUGCUACUCGUAUCUGUAUCCAUGUACAGACUCGUAUCCGAAACCGUGUCCAACAGAUUUUUUAUCCGCGGGUACAAAAAUAAAUCACAUCCAUUGCCACCGGUACAUAGGACUAACCAAUGUUUCCAGCUGUAGACAUAACUAUAUAUCAAAAAAGAAACCCUUUUAUACACUUAACAAAUAGGGGGGGACUUUGCUUUAAUUUCUUUUUGUAAAGGUUCAAUCAAGUAUACAAGAAAUCAAUCUGGUUUGGUGAAAAAAGAAGCAGAUAAAGAAAAACCUUAAAUCUACCUCUUGUCGAAUCUGCAUGCGCUCCAGCAACUUGAUCACAUCCAGACCGACCUUGUACGCGUACACCUUGCACUCCACAAGACCUACCAUGGUGGAUGCGAUGGCGAUCUGUUGCCCAGCUUCGCGGGUUGCCGCACGACGAACUUGCCCAUGUACCAUGUGUUUCCUUGAAGAGCGUCGUCAAGCGAGCAACAAUGGCAGCCUCACCGCUAGCAAAGAUGCUGAGGGUGGAAUUGCAAACUCGGUCACCGGCUCACCGCCAGGGAUAACCGAGGAGCGCGACAGCAGUGGCUAUCCCGCUGGCGGUGGUGAGGGUGGGAUCUGAUUUUUACAAGAGUCAAGAGCUAAAGAGGCAAACAACAACCACCCAGCCCCAUG